rnacentral:rRNA from 1 species
UACGUAGGGGGCAAGCGUUGUCCGGAUGUAUUGGGCGUAAAGAGCGUGUAGGCGGCUUUACAGGUCCGUUGUGAAAACUCGAGGCUCAACCUCGAGACGCCUGUGGAAACCGUAAAGCUAGAGUCCGGAAGAGGAGAGUGGAAUUCCUGGUGUAGCGGUGAAAUGCGCAGAUAUCAGGAGGAACACCCGUGGCGAAAGCGGCUCUCUGGGACGGUACUGACGCUGAGACGCGAAAGCGUGGGGAGCAAACAGG